CUAUUUCAGCAAUACAUAUAUUAAAACUGGAAUGAUACCAAGAAGAUUAGCAUCGCCCCUGCAUAAGGAUGACAGAAAAAUUUGUGAAGCAUUCCAUAUUUUU